GUUUAUCUUCAGGGGCAGGGUGAAACUCCCGACCGGCGGUAAAAGUCCGCGACCUGCAGUGAUGCAGUUGAACUGGUGUGAUCCCAGUACCGACAGUAAAGUCUGGAUAAAGAAGAUAGGG
rnacentral:ncRNA from 2 species